rnacentral:ncRNA from 1 species
CUUAUCAAGAGUGACCGAGGGACAAGGCCCUAUGACGUCCGGCAACCCCAUUAUGGAAGGUGCCAAUUCCUUCAGAACGUACAAAUUUCUGAAAGAUAAG